rnacentral:lncRNA from 1 species
CCACCCUGGCCAGGGAACAGACGCAGCUCAAGUUAGCAUAGUGCAGUGGCCAGCCUGCCGUGGACGGGUGUAAGGGCUGAUCAGAUGAGGGAACAAUUGAUUGUGCCUGACAAGGCCAGGCAAGGCUUCGUGAAGCUGGGCUCUGGCCCAAGUGAGGCCUGGAUAGACAGGUCAGUGCAAAGCUGGAAAGGAGCAGAGCCAGCAACUGUUUUUGAUGUACAGAUGACUGUGCCACUCCCCAGCAGCCCCUUCUUUAUUCUGGGUACCUGGACGUCACCAUGACAACCAAGCCUCCCUCAGCCUGUGGUGUGGGCUGGGGGCCCACUGAGCUCAGGGUGGGGACCCCCAAGAGGUGGUAGCAGCAGACCUGGGGGAGAGGCAGGAGAAGGGAGGGUUAGAGAGGGCAAGCUGGCUCUGCAGGGGUGGUGGGGCUGGGUGGCUGGGGAGGCUGGAAGAGCAACCCUCUGGUGUGGGGCAGGGAAGUAGGACUGAGAAACACCCACGAGAGCAAGCGAGUUAUGGGGCUCUCCUCCCAACCACUCCCCACUUUCAGCACUUGUGUGAUGUCAUUCUAGGAACACCACCAUCACCAGCAUGGAGAGCAGCCGGGACCCCAUGGGCAGGUCCCUAACCUGGUCCUGGUAGUUGGAUUCCACCUCUGGAAGUGAGCAUAUCUCUCUCUCCUUUGCUUCUGCAAGGAAGGCACAGUCCCAAGCCUUUUCCAGCAGUCCCCAAAUUUCACUGACUGCCCCAUCCUGACCUUCCUAGCUGUCCUCUACCCUACUGCAGCUUCCACUGCAUGCGUGUGCAUGCAGUGGUCAGGGCCUCCUGAAGGCAGUUCUGAGGAAUGGCUCUGGACAGAAGAGGGAAGGGUACUACAUGACUCAAUGUGUCCCUGAGCUGUGGCCAGCAGCGGAUUGGGGAGGGGGUCUGGCAUUAGGCAACAGUUGCCUGUAAUUGUUACCAAACUUUUGGAAAACAAGAAACAACAAAGAAAUAAAAGCAGUAGAUAAUUAAGUACAUAAUUGUACACACCACUUGUUAAUUAAGCUUUUACUCCUAAAACCUGACAGAAUCUGCUUACAAGGUGAUAACGUGCAGGAACGUGGCAUAUGGUGAGCCAUCUGCAAUACAAACGCUUUGUCGAUGAAAACUUCCCUGCCCCACAAAAAGAAGGAGAUGCUAAAUGUAGUUUUCCAGAGCAGAGUGAUGUAUCUUCAUUCCGUGCAGAAAAUGAGUUGACGGUACAGUGUGCAGAUGAAAGAAUGUCAGGAAGGGCCACGCGGCACCCUCUGUCCUCGCUGCGGCUCUGCGUGUUUGGUUUGUGGCCCAUGCUAGGGGUUCUGAGAAUCGCUCGGUUGGUGUAUCUGGUGCCCGAGAGCAGUGUCUUAAGAACAAAUGAAAAGCAACACUUCUUGCCUGCGGCCACCCCAGUCUCCGGGCCUCUGAGUCUCUGCCUUGCCUCUGUGACUCUGCUUCUCCCUCCACCUGCUUCUUCCAGGUCUUCUGAAGGAGGAGGCGUCUGGCCACGCCUGUUAAGAACACAUCCUCCCCAGCCCCCACCUGUGGGCCUUGGCCCCUGCCUACCCCAAGAGGGCUGCCUUUGGUCUCACACUCAUCCUCAUCCCCAUCAGUGGGGACACACACUCCAAAGCACAGUGAUCCAUGUGCAUGGGAGCACUCCCACCCUCCUCUUGCCCUGUGGACCUCCUUGUUCAAAACUGUCCUCUGCUCAGACUCAGGCCAGGACCCCAGCUUUUUGCUUCCUGGAUCCAAAAGGGGGGACCCCUGCACCUCUGCUGGGGGGCAUCCAUCAUAUUCAUUGAUGAUUUUUUUCUCAAGUAUUCCAUAAAAUCCCUUGCCGG